UCUGUGUGUGUGUGUGUGUGUGUGUGUGUGUGUGUGUGUGUGUGUGUGUGUGUGUGUUCUCAGUAAAACCCCCUAAACUGAAGUUAUGUGCACUUCUCGACUGUCUGUAUCUGGCCAGUGCGGAAAGCAGCCGACCGAAGGGUAACGUCUCUUCGGACAAAUGCAGGCUAUGGCCUAUGCCAGCUCUGCGUUGCGGGCACAAGCGUACUGCUUCACUACAGUAUAAAGUGGUUUAUAUUUAACCGUCUGGAUACCCUGGAACCUACUGCAUGGUCAAUUACACUUGAGUGCAUAUCAGCUACAAAGCCUGGCAACUAGGAUGAAAUGACUGUAAAUUGCCCCCUGGAUGUGAGCUACUCCUGUUCUCCUUUCCCAAAGCAAACCUUGUAAAAUCAGUUAUUGACCUGCUUCCAUGAGUGAAACACAGGCCAAUGUGCACUCAUUUACCAGAGGGAAGGUGGGGCAUCGAGCCACAGCGUGAAGUAGCCUGAGCGCACUGCACUGAAUGUGUUCUUUGGCAAACAUCCCAGUGAAGUGGACAUGAUGUUAUUAGAAGAGACAAUCACAAGAAUUUCACUGUCAUUUCUGUAAGGACCAGGGAGAAGAAACAAAGUGUUCCCCAGACUGAAACGCAACUGCCAGAGCUAGCUGGUCAUCAAGCGAUGGGGCUGAUGCACAAGCCAAGGAGACUUGUCUUAUUAACAUGAAAAUGAUACAUUGUUCUUCAUACUUGCACUGGGCGAGUCCAAAAGGAUUGCAAGGUGAAGGCUAGACAUUCCGUCUUCCCUGCACUGAGAACAAGGUAACACUCCCCCACCCAGACAAUCCAUCAGCAGCAAGGGGAACAAAGUGCCAGCUGGAAGGAACAAACAGAAUGAUGCCAGCCUGCUCUCUUUCUGCUGCAGCGUUAGCCCAACCCUCCUGGCAUGGAUUCAGUUCAAGCACUGAGAUUUCAAACCUUUCUGCCCUCUAAGCUUGACUGUGCUCAUGUGGCACAGCUAGGAGUAGGGGAGGGUGCAGAGCCAUAUCUCCCAAUUGGGAGCUCAGGAGAGGUUGUUUCUUCAAAUGCAGCCUGCUCCUGCCUCCUCCCAACCCCAUCAGCACACCCAGUCCUUGCAGAGGAGGGGCACAAGCCAUUCUAGGGGUGUCCAGAGAGCACAGUCCCUGCAUUCCCUUCCCACACCCCCCGCACAGAACCAGGUAACAAUCAGGGACAAGACAGGCCCUUUUCUCUAGCCUGUAUGGUCAGCAUCAGUUUUGUUUUACCAGUAGUGACUAUUAUGCUCCUUGGUGCUUCCAGGAGAGAGUCAACUGGAAUAUUAUCAGAGGCGGUAGCAGAAAGAGCAAGCUGGCAUUUAAUAUGAAUGUGUGGACACGCAAGUGUGUACACUAGCAUUUCCCGUCUGUGGGCUGAAGGGGCAGGAGCACUGUAUCUUUUACACAGAGUCUCUUUCCCAAGAGUUAGGAGUUUGUUGAACAGGUUUUAACACAUAAAGCUUUACAGAGUCUGACAAAAAAAUCCCUUCCCCUGUCAAUUGGUCAUGUGUCUCAGGGUUUUAGGAUGUCACAAUUCUACCAAUUCUCCAGUCUUCCAAGCAGCCCUCUAGCAAAACCACAGAAGGAGAGGCCUAAUAUUUCUUAGGUAAAACAAGAAGCAAGGAAGAAAAAAUAGAGGAACUUCCAGGCCUUUUAAAUGUUCAUUAAGCAGCAACAAGAGCCCAUGUGUAUUCCCCUCAGCCCUUUCCUUUGCAGUGAUAGAGGUAAAUCAAAACAUCUCUGUUCUUGGUUCUUCAUCCCACACAGGACUGCAUUUCACACUCUCACUACACUGUAUGAGCAGUAGGUAUGGUGCACUACAGCCUCCAUUUUAUUGCUCUCAGAGGCAGGAGAUGGGCUCUUUCAAAAACAUCCUCCAUCUCUCAUUAACAUUCCUGACGUCUGCCUGGCAGAGACUAUGAGCAAGGUACAAAACAACUGAAUAAAGCAUUAAGCACGUGCCUUACAGUUAUCAACUGCAGUGCCUAAAUGGAUCACUCGUUUUAAAAAAAAAUCUAUUCUCAGUGCCACUACUUGCAACUGGAGCUAAAUUGAUACUUCAGAAAUCCAGCAGAUUAUUUUACCACUCGAGCCUUUCACUCAAACCACUUUAAAAUUGCAACACCGUGUAGUCAGAAUGUAUUAUGGCAAACAAUCAGUUCUGAAGAAAUAUAUGAAAAUCAACUAAUACUAGUGUUGGAUUAGUUCCAUACAUACACACACACAGACCAGCCAGUUAAAGUAAAUAAAUGAACCCCAAACCUUAUAAAUGUAUCAUCGUUCGUUUAGAUGCAAAAUUCCACCCCAGCAACAGAAAUAGGUCUGAAUGCACCAGAUCAAUACCUCAUAACUUAGAUCCUAGAUCACACAUAGUACAAGACGACACUGGUUUUAUGCAGUAGUUUUGCUCCUAAUUAUUCAAGAGGAGCCCUGAAAUGCCUGUCUUCCAUCUGCACACGUAAGUGUCUGACAUCAGAUCAGUACUACAUCACAUGGAGAGGGAAGUAAGGUGACCACUUGUUUGUAUUUGUCCUAUAAGACAAAAUGGUCAUGACAUGAUAAAUAAAAAUAUGCAAGACAUUCAUCCUGAUAUUUGAAACAGCCCCAGCAUUGCUGAGGUUAAUUAACCUGAUUUUGAGCAAGCCUGGGCCAAGUUCUGGUUUUGGUUAGAAACUGUGACAAUCACUGGGCGGGCUAUGGUGUCUAAUAAUUUGAGCAUGUGUCUGAGAGUCAGAAAAUCUGUGUUCUGGUCCUAACUCAUCCCUAACAUAUUGGGUGACCUUAGACUGGCCACUUAAUGCUCUGUGUCUUAGUUUCUCUCUGUAAAAUGGGGUUAAUAUAUACCUACCUUUGUAAAGCACAUCAAGAUCUUUGAGUGAAAGGCGCUACAUGGAACUGAUUAACAGUGUUGUUAGAUAUGUGCUUUGCACAAUGCUAUAUAUUAGCCCAAAACUAAAGUACAUGCACGUAAGCUAAACUGGACCCUCUAUGAAUUGCCAUGUGUUUAUUGGCUAAAAGUGCCACUGUUGCAACUAUAGGUUCUAACCUGAACCUGUUUUGUGUUAACUUAUUUGGUGGCAGAACUGUAUGGAAGAGCAGCUU